UUUUUUUUUUUUGAUAAGUAAAGAGAAUUUCAUAUAUAAAGAGAUGCCAAAAAAGUGACUCAAGGUAUACAAUACCUAUACACCCACCACCAAAAAGGCCAAAAAAGAAGAAGACAAACACCCAGCUGACCCAGAAUACAACCUUAAUAGGAUCCCAACCAAUCAAUAAAAUUAACCAUAGUUAGAGGGCAAUCAACUAUAAAUAACUUAGCCUCAGACCAAAGUGAAAAAACAAAGGAGUAUUUCAUUCUCUGUAUUGACAACACAUUAUCCUUGAAAGUCAAUUUGUUUCUCGCCUUCCAAAUCGCCCAAAAAAUAUAAAGAGGAGCAGCUCUCCACACCUUCUUGCGCUUUUUGCCCACAAAAGAACCAUAUCAGCUAAGGAGAGUCUCUCUAAAUGAUGAAGGCAAUGCCAGAUAAGGAGAAGGGUGAGGUUUUGGAGGGAUAGAUGGUGUGGGGAAUCCCCUUUAUGUGUGUCUUUUCCUUCCUUAUUUGUUUUGGUUGUUGACAAGGAAGCUUGGGUGGCGGAUGUUUUGGACCCCUUGGUGGAGGGGGGUUGGAAUCCCCGUUUUUCAAGAGCCCUAAAUGACUGGGAGGUGGAAAAGGCGGAAAGAUUCUUUUUUUGAUAAGUAAGCACAAAAUUCAUUCAUAAAAGGCGAAUUAGCCCCAAAGUAUAUAGGGAGUAUACAUGGCAGUUAAGACCUUACAAGCAAAAAACCAAUAACUCACCACCCCUUAUCUGGAGGCUAACCACUCCAAGAAUCCUAUAAGGGAAUGCGGCUCCUCACCAAUAUACAAUUUAGCCCAACCCCAAAUGUUACAUACAAAAUAAUAUUUAAGCCUUUGAAUUGUUAACUCCCCUCCCCUAAAAGCUAAUCUAUUCCUUUCCUUUCAAACCGUCCAAAAAAUAAAUAACAGAAUGAAAUUCCAAAGUUUUUUCCUUUUUUUUCCCCACAAAAGCACCCCCCAAACUAAAUAAAACCUCCUUUACAGUUUUAGGAAAAGCCCACUUAACCCCAAAUAAGCCCAAAACUAAGUCCCACAGCACUCUGACCACUGUACAAUGAAUAAGAAUGUGAUUUACAUUUUCCUCUUCACAAGCACACAAAAAACAGCGAUUGGGAAGCUGCCACCCUCUCUUCUGGAGUCUAUCAAGAGUCAAUAUCUUCCCCCAAGUGGCUUCCCACGCAAAAAACAUAAUUUUAGUUGGAACUCUCUCCACCCAAAUUUUAUUUUUCGGAAAGAUGACCUCCAAAGGCCUAUCCAACCGGCUGUACGCUUCCUUAACUCUAAACUGCCAAUUUCCUCCUCCCUUCCAAAAAACCGAAUCUUCCUCCCAAGUUAUCCUGUAUCCCCUCAACACCUGAAGCAAGUUGCCUACCAUAUCCAACUCCCAAUCAUUAAAAUCCCUAAUAAAUCUCAAAUUCCAACCUCCUCCAAAAUUUUGGUCCCACAUUUCUUCUAUUGUCGCAUUCCUAUGAGUUGCCAAAAUGAAGAGAUGCGAGAAUCUUUGGGACAAUGCUAUAUCCCCACACCAAAGGUCAGUCCAGAACCUAAUUUUAUUGCCUUUCCCCACUUUGAACGCCAAGUUUUCCCAGCACCAUCCAGCUUCCUUUAAAAUCUCCUUCCAAACCCCCACCCCAAACGCACCCACAACCUUUUUAGUCCUCCAGCUGAAGUCCUCUUGACCAUACUUCACCAACAACACUUGCUUCCAGAGAGCAUCCUUAUCACAAGCGAAUCUCCAAAUCCAUUUGCCAAGUAAAAAUUUGUUUAAAAGGGUUAGUUUCCUUAUUCCAAGCCCCCCUUUCUCCUUAUCCCCACACACCACCUCCCAUUUGACAAGAUGAGCUUUCCUUUCCAGGUUUCCCUCUCCCCACAAAAAAUCUCUUUGCAGUUUUUCUAGUCUCCUUGCCACAGAAUUGGGCAUUCGAAAGAGGGACAUUUGAUACAUUGGCAUGCUUGUCAUUGUGCUCUUUAUAAGAGUGAUUCUCCCGCCCUUUGAAAUAUAUUGUCUUUUCGAAAGGGCAAGCCUCCUCCUCACUUUCUCUUCUACCCCAUCCCACCUAGAGAUGGCCUUAUUUGGCGCCCCCAGAGGCAGCCCCAAGUAAACUGCAAGCAGCUGCCCUACCCUACACCCUAACUCCACUGCCAUCUCUUCCACCUCUUCCACUUCCCCUAUUGGAAUGAUCUCGUUUUUAGCCAAAUUAAUUCUUAACCCUGAAACGGCUUCAAACCAAAACAGAAUCCAACUCAAAUUUGUUAAAUGCUCCUUUUUUGCCUCACAAAAAACGAUUGUGUCAUCGGCAAAGAGCAAGUGUGCAAUGUGGACAGCCCGCCCUUUACCACGCUGAAUUUUACACCCUGAGAUAAAUCCCUCUUCCACAGCCCUUCUUAUUAGAACGCUCAACACUUCCAUCCCCAUGACAAAGAGAUAGGGGGAAAGGAGGUCCCCUUGGUGCAACCCCUUCGAGCUUGAGAAGAAGCCAACUGGGACUCCGUUCACCAUGACUGAGAACUUAGCUGUGGAAAUACACCACCACAUCCACCUCAGCCACUUUGAACCAAACCCCAUUUUUUCCAUAACCUUCUAAAGGAAUUGCCAAUUAAUGCUAUCAUAGGCCUUCUCAAUAUCUAGCUUACAGAUUAACCCUUUCUCACUCCUUUUAUUCCACGCGUCAAUCACCUCAUUUGCUAUUAGAGAGGCAUCUAGAAUCUGUCUUCUCGUGACAAACGCGUUCUGAUCAGGGAAGACCACUCUUCCUAUCACUUUUUUAAGCCUAUUGGCCAGCACCUUAGCCAACAGCUUAUAAAGCCCCCCCAAGAGGCUGAUGGGUCUAAAGUCCCCUAGAUCCUCGACCCCUCCUUUCUUUGGUAACAACACCAAAAAGGUAUUGUUGAGACUUUGAGGAAAACAUCCUGAUCAUAAAACUCCUUGAACAUCUCCAAAAUCUCCUCCUUUACAAAAUCCUAGCAACUUUGCCAGAAAGACAAAGUGAAGCCGUCUGGUCCUGGGGCUUUAUCCCCGUUCAUAUCCAUCAAAGCCGCCUGGACCUCAGCCUCAGUGAAAGGAAGCUCCAACAUCCCCGCUUCUUGAAGACUGAUUUGGUUAAAUUGAAGGCUUCCAAUGUCCACCCUCCACUCCGAGCUUUCUGAAAGCUGCUGCUAAAAGGCAUUCACUACCCCUUCCUUAAUUUCUCACUCCUCUGUCAGCCUCACCUCAUUUAUCUUAAUUCUGUCCAUGUAAUUGGCUCUUCUAUGGGCGGAAGUCAUAUGGUGGAAAUAUCCCGUGUUUCUAUCCCCUGCCUUUAACCAUAACUCCCUUGAAGCCUGUCUCCAAUGGGUUUCUUCUAAAUCUACCCACUUGGCAUAUCCCUCAUUGGCUUGCUUUUUACAAGCUAAUUCCUCCACUGUCAAGCUUCUCUCACCUUCCACCCUAUCCCAAUACUCCACUUGUUGGAGAGCUGCAUCCUUGUUACAUUUCAGAUUCCCGAACACCUCCCUAUUCCGAACUUUUAACUUCUGUUUCAACUCCUUCAGUUUUGCAGUCAAUCUGAAGCUGACGCUACCUCUAACCAUUGUCCCCUGCCACUAAUUAUGGAUUAAAUCUUUGAACCUCUCGACUUUGAACCACAUAUUUUCGAAUUUGAAAGGGGUAGGCCUCCCCCCUCCUUAGGCUACCCCCCUCAAGUAAAACUGGGAAAUGAGCCGAGGUCGGCCUGGGUAACCUUCGCUGGAUCACCCUACUAAACUGNNNNNNNNNNNNNNNNNNNNNNNNNNNNNNNNNNNNNNNNNNNNNNNNNNNNNNNNNNNNNNNNNNNNNNNNNNNNNNNNNNNNNNNNNNNNNNNNNNNNGAAACUUCUUCCACUAGGGCGUUGUCUGUCAACAAGUAGUGGAAGUCCACCUGCUGUUCUCUCUCAGCUUCCUUUUCCCGCAUACUUAGAAACUCCAGCUCAAUAUUGACUUCCCCACAGGACCCAGAUUGGGCUAAGUAUUUCCCCAACGGACCUUUAUUAAGCUGAACCUCGGCCGGGCCAUUGCUAUUCGUAACUAAAAGCCCAAAAGGCUGCACCCCAAAAUCCUUAAGAUGGGUUAGAAAUGGCCCGCUGCUCUUCCUUUGGGCCACUGCAGGCCCAAAUCGCAGCCCAAUCUCCACCUCUGAAGCCUUCUCCUUUCCCUUAAAGCCCUUCGACCCAACCUCAGGCCCAACCCCACCAACACCAACCCCUUUUAAAGUUGCUCAUUCAGAAAGGAUUUGCGGACUAGGCCCCCCAACCCACCUCAAGCCCAGAGUGUCUUUAGUGAGCCCAAACGAGGACGACCCAUCUUUCGCCCCACCCACUAAGGGUCGGAUCAUCGACCUGAAUUGAAUCCGGCCCGCAGUCAAAACCCUACCCGUCCCGUCCACCUGCCCUUCCGUCUCGUCAGCUGUCCGUGACAGCGCCUCGAGCCUUGCGUUACCCUACUCUUCCACUCGCGGGCCAGCACGUGCGCCUCUGUUGCCCCUGACCUCUCUUCUAGCACGAUAUGUUGAGCCCCGGUAACUCUCCGAAUUUUGUCUAAUCGACGGCAACACCUCCCACCAA
rnacentral:lncRNA from 1 species